rnacentral:tRNA from 1 species
GCCGACGUAGCUCAGUUGGUAGAGCGGCAUCCUUGUAAGAUGCGGGCCAUCGGUUCGAGUCCGAUCGUCGGCUCCA